AUGAUUGUCACUGGACCUGGAAGAGAAGGUAUAGACAGAGGGAAUGUCAGGAUCAAAAGCCAAAGGAAAGAAGGGGACAAAUGGAGAAUAAUUCAAUAUAGUGAUUUUAAAUACAAUGUAGUGAUGACUGCAGCACACCAGGCUUCCCUGUCCCUCAUCAUCUCCCGAAAUUUGCCCAAGUUCAUGUCUAUUGCAUCAGUGAUGUCAUCCAGCCAUCUCAUCCCCUGGCACCCUCUUCUUCUUCUGCCCUCAACUUUCCCGGCAUCAAGAACUUUUCCAAUCAGUUGUCUGUUCGCAUCAGAUUCAGUUGCUUGUCCCAAGAAAUCUCUCACUAUACUUGAUACAGUAUGGAGUGAAGUAUCAUCCAGGACAUUUUGAAGUACACAAUUUAGCUGUUUUAAUGUGAACAUUUUUAUUCGAGGGAUUAUUUAUAGUGCUUUUUUGUUGUUGUUUUUGGCCCAUUAAAAUUUAAAUCCAC
rnacentral:lncRNA from 1 species